AGUUUGAUCCUGGCUCAGGAUGAACGCUAGCGGCAGGCCUAACACAUGCAAGUCGAACGGUAACAGGAAAGAGCUUGCUUUUUUGCUGACGAGUGGCGCACGGGUGCGUAACGCGUAUAUAAUCUACCUUUUACAGGGGGAUAGCCUUUAGAAAUGAAGAAUAAUACCCCAUAGUAAGUUGCCUUGGCAUCGAGAUAACUUUAAAGCUUCGGCGGUAAAAGAUGAAUAUGCGUUCUAUUAGCUAGAUGGUGUGGUAACGGCACACCAUGGCGACGAUAGAUAGGGGCCCUGAGAGGGGGAUCCCCCACACUGGUACUGAGACACGGACCAGACUCCUACGGGAGGCAGCAGUGAGGAAUAUUGGACAAUGGGCGAAAGCCUGAUCCAGCCAUGCCGCGUGCAGGAAGACUGCCCUAUGGGUUGUAAACUGCUUUUAUACGGGAAGAACCCCAUCUACGUGUAGAUGGCUGACGGUACCGUAAGAAUAAGGAUCGGCUAACUCCGUGCCAGCAGCCGCGGUAAUACGGAGGAUCCAAGCGUUAUCCGGAAUCAUUGGGUUUAAAGGGUCCGUAGGUGGAUAAUUAAGUCAGGGGUGAAAGUCUGCAGCUCAACUGUAGAAUUGCCUUUGAUACUGGUUAUCUUGAAUUAUUGUGAAGUGGUUAGAAUAUGUAGUGUAGCGGUGAAAUGCAUAGAUAUUACAUAGAAUACCAAUUGCGAAGGCAGAUCACUAACAAUAUAUUGACACUGAUGGACGAAAGCGUGGGGAGCGAACAGGAUUAGAUACCCUGGUAGUCCACGCCGUAAACGAUGGUCACUAGCUGUUCGGACUUCGGUCUGAGUGGCUAAGCGAAAGUGAUAAGUGACCCACCUGGGGAGUACGUUCGCAAGAAUGAAACUCAAAGGAAUUGACGGGGGCCCGCACAAGCGGUGGAGCAUGUGGUUUAAUUCGAUGAUACGCGAGGAACCUUACCAGGGCUUAAAUGUAAGUUGCAUUAGUUAGAGAUAGCUAUUUCUUCGGACCACUUACAAGGUGCUGCAUGGUUGUCGUCAGCUCGUG
rnacentral:rRNA from 1 species